AGGUAAGCUACUAAGAGCGAAUGGUGGAUGCCUUGACUGGUAAAGGCGAUGAAGGACGUACUAGACUGCGAUAAGCUACGGGGAGCUGUCAAGAAGCUUUGAUCCGUAGAUUUCCGAAUGGGGCAACCCAAUGUAUAGAGAUAUACAUUACCUAUAUAGGAGCGAACGAGGGGAAUUGAAACAUCUUAGUACCCUCAGGAAAAGAAAUCAAUAGAGAUUGCGUCAGUAGCGGCGAGCGAAAGCGCAAGAGGGCAAACCCAGUGCUUGCACUGGGGGUUGUAGGACUGCAAUGUGCAAGAGGUGAGUUUAGCAGAACAUUCUGGAAAGUAUAGCCAUAGAGGGUGAUAGUCCCGUAUGCGAAAAACAAACCUUAGCUAGCAGUAUCCUGAGUAGGGCGGGACACGAGAAAUCCUGUCUGAAGCUGGGUCGACCACGAUCCAACCCUAAAUACUAAUACCAGAUCGAUAGUGCACAAGUACCGUGAGGGAAAGGUGAAAAGAACUGAGGUGAUCAGAGUGAAAUAGAACCUGAAACCAUUUGCUUACAAUCAUUCAGAGCCCUAUGUAGCAAUACAGGGUGAUGGACUGCCUUUUGCAUAAUGAGCCUGCGAGUUGUGGUGUCUGGCAAGGUUAAGCAAACGCGAAGCCGUAGCGAAAGCGAGUCUGAAUAGGGCGCUUAGUCAGAUGCUGCAGACCCGAAACGAAGUGAUCUAUCCAUGAGCAAGUUGAAGCUAGUGUAAGAACUAGUGGAGGACUGAACCCAUAGGCGUUGAAAAGCCCCGGGAUGACUUGUGGAUAGGGGUGAAAGGCCAAUCAAACUUCGUGAUAGCUGGUUCUCUCCGAAAUAUAUUUAGGUAUAGCGUUGUGUCGUAAUAUAAGGGGGUAGAGCACUGAAUGGGCUAGGGCAUACACCAAUGUACCAAACCCUAUCAAACUCCGAAUACCUUAUAUGUAAUCACAGCAGUCAGGCGGCGAGUGAUAAAAUCCGUCGUCAAGAGGGAAACAACCCAGACUACCAGCUAAGGUCCCUAAAUCUUACUUAAGUGGAAAACGAUGUGAAGUUACUUAAACAACCAGGAGGUUGGCUUAGAAGCAGCCAUCCUUUAAAGAAAGCGUAAUAGCUCACUGGUCUAGUGAUUUUGCGCGGAAAAUAUAACGGGGCUAAAGUAA
rnacentral:rRNA from 1 species